AUUGAACGCUGGCGGCAGGCCUAACACAUGCAAGUCGAGCGGCAGCGGGACCUUCGGGUUGCCGGCGAGCGGCGGACGGGUGAGUAAUGCCUAGGAAUCUGCCUGUUAGUGGGGGAUAACGCGGGGAAACUCGCGCUAAUACCGCAUACGUCCUACGGGAGAAAGCGGGGGCUCUUCGGACCUCGCGCUAACAGAUGGGCCUAGGUCGGAUUAGCUAGUUGGUGGGGUAAUGGCCCACCAAGGCGACGAUCCGUAACUGGUCUGAGAGGAUGAUCAGUCACACUGGAACUGAGACACGGUCCAGACUCCUACGGGAGGCAGCAGUGGGGAACAUUGGACAAUGGGCGAAAGCCUGAUCCAGCCAUGCCGCGUGUGUGAAGAAGGUCUUCGGAUUGUAAAGCACUUUAAGUCGGGAGGAAGGGCUGUAGGCUAAUACCUUGCAGUUUUGACGUUACCGACAGAAUAAGCACCGGCUAACUUCGUGCCAGCCGCCGCCGUAA
rnacentral:rRNA from 1 species